rnacentral:rRNA from 1 species
AUUGAACGCUGGCGGCAGGCUUAACACAUGCAAGUCGAGCGAGCGGCGGACGGGUGAGUAAUGUCUGGGAAACUGCAUGAUGGAGGGGGAUAAGUACUGGAAACGGUAGCUAAUACCGCAUACCAUCAGAUGUGCCCAGAUGGGAUUAGCUAGUAGGGGGGGUAAUGGCUAACCUAGGCGACGAUCCCUAGCUGGUCUGAGAGGUUGACCAGCCACACUGGAACUGAGACACGUCCCAGACUCCUACGGGAGGCAGCAGUGGGGAAUAGUGCACAAUGGGCGCAAGCCUGAUCCAGCCAUGCCGCGUGUGUGAAGAAGGCCUUCGGGUUGUAAAGCACUUUCAGCGAGGAGGCGUUACUCGCAGAAGAAGCACCGGCUAACUCCGUGCCAGCAGCCGCGGUAAUUC